UGACGACUCGAUGGAGUUGGAAUUCUCGAUUCUGGUGGUGAUGUGGUGAUUCGUGGAAUUGAUGUCUGAGGUUCUAAGAGCAGUUGUUUUGGAAUAAGAAGUUGGUUGAGGUAUGUGAGUGGAACGACGGCGAAGUCCAAGAAGAUCCAGGAAUGAGGAACGACUUGUCGCUAAAUGUUAAACUUUCAAUUUUGAGUGAACCCUUUUCCGAUUCUUUAAUUUUUUCUUUUCUAAAAAAUUAUCUU
ensembl:antisense_RNA ZK822.8 ncRNA